GAUGAACGCUAGUUACAGGCUUAACACAUGCAAGUCGAGGGGCAGCAUGGAAGAAGCUUGCUUCUUCUGAUGGCGACCGGCGCACGGGUGCGUAACGCGUAUCAAACCUGCCUCAUACUCGGGGAUAGCCUUGCGAAAGUAAGAUUAAUACCCGAUGUUGUUAUGUUACCGCAUGGUGAUAUAACCAAAGAUUUAUCGGUAUGAGAUGGUGAUGCGUCCGAUUAGGUAGUAGGCGGGGUAACGGCCCACCUAGCCUUCGAUCGGUAGGGGUUCUGAGAGGAAGGUCCCCCACACUGGAACUGAGACACGGUCCAGACUCCUACGGGAGGCAGCAGUGAGGAAUAUUGGUCAAUGGACGAAAGUCUGAACCAGCCAAGUAGCGUGCAGGAUGACGGCCCUCUGGGUUGUAAACUGCUUUUAGUUGGGAAUAAAAAAGAGGACGUGUCCUCUAUUGUAUGACCUCAGAAAAAGGCC
rnacentral:rRNA from 2 species